ACGAAACUUUCAAAUAUAGCGAUAAUAAUAACUAAAAGUGCUAAAGUGAUUUGAAAAUUUUACCACAUCUAGAAAAGACUAAUAUAAGUACUCGGUGAUAAUUGCAGGUCUCUAUGGUUGUUUUAAACGGAAUUACAAAAAAAAAAAAAAAAACCCAAUAUCUUAAUCAAAAUCGUUAUUGCGUACAUUUACCCAUUUUUCAACGUUUUAUCUUACUCUUAAUAAAACU